UGGCAGGAAAGGAGGGGGGACAGCAGGCAGGGAUGUGGCAGGAGGGAUGGGGGGUUCCCAGGACCCUGAGGGACUUUGGGAUGCUCCAAAGUGGAUGGGAUGGCCAAGGUGGGUGGGGUGGGAUGCCCCAAGGAUGAUGGGAUGCUCCAGGAUGCUCCAGGAUGCUCCGAGGUGGAUGCAGAUGGGAUGCUGAGGAUGAUGAUGGAAGCUCCGAGGACAAUGGAUGCUCCGAGGUGGAUGCUGAUGUGAUGCCCCGAGGACAGCACAAUGCUCCAGGCCAGAAGCUCCCACCCCUCUCCGUGCAUGUCCAGCAGCUCCCUGUGCCCACGGCCCCGCUGCCAGGCAGGACCCAGCGUGCCCGGAGCGUCCGUGCCCACCAAACACCCCCCAAUAAACACACUGUGACCCCCAGCCCUGCCCGUGUGUCCUUCCAGCCACGGCGUGCCCACCCUAUCCUGCAUUCUGCGGCACCAGCGAGCAGGAAUUCCUCAUUUCAGGAUGCUCCAGGCCCCACACACUGGGUUUUUUCCAGCAGAAACCUCGGCCCACGGUGCAGGUGGGAAGCAGGAGGUGUUUCCUCAGGGAGGGGAGUCCCCGCUGGACUGGUUUUCCAAGGGGAGCUCUUCCCUGGCUCCCAGGUGUAUAAAUAUGCAUGUGAAAAACCACCAAUUAAAUAUCAAAUAAAGAUCCUCUCGCAGGUAACAG